rnacentral:rRNA from 1 species
CGGGGUGAGUAAUGUAUGGGGAUCUGCCUGAUGGCGGGGGAUAACUACUGGAAACGGUAGCUAAUACCGCAUAAUGUCUACGGACCAAAGCGGGGGACCUUAGGGCCUCUUGCCAUCGGAUGUGCCCAGAUGGGAUUAGCUAGUAGGUGGGGUAACGGCUCACCUAGGCGACGAUCCCUAGCUGGUCUGAGAGGAUGACCAGCCACACUGGAACUGAGACACGGUCCAG